rnacentral:rRNA from 1 species
UCGAGGAUCUUUCGCAAUGGGGGAAACCCUGACGAAGCGACGCCGCGUGAGCGAUGAAGGCCUUCGGGUCGUAAAGCUCUGUCACGAGGGAAGAAAAAGUUGAUAGUAAAUAAUUUUCAACUUUGACUGUACCUCGAGAGGAAGCCACGGCUAACUCUGUGCCAGCAGCCGCGGUAAUACAGAGGUGGCAAGCGUUGUUCGGAUUCAUUGGGUGUAAAGGGUCUGUAGGCGGUUCAGCAAGUCGGGUGUGAAAUCUCAUGGCUCAACCAUGAAACUGCGCUCGAAACUACUGGACUAGAGUUUGGAAGAGGAAGAUGGAAUUCCCGGUGUAAGGGUGAAAUCUGCAGAUAUCGGGAGGAACACCAGUUGCGAAGGCGAUCUUCUGGUCCAAAACUGACGCUGAGAGACGAAAGCUAGGGGAGCAAACGGGAUUAGAUACCCCCGUAGUCC